UGUAACGUCACAGGACCCCAUUUGGUACAAUUUUUACACAUUUAUUCUAAUAUAGAAAAUACUCACGUGAGAAUUUCAAAUUAAUGUUGAUAUUUUACUAAGACAACCUUUAGUACUUCCAACUGCAUGAUCAAAAAAUAAAUAGUACGUGAUAGCUAUUUAUAGAUCCGCUUUUUUUGUGUUACGUAACUUCCGGUCUGGAGCAUGCAGAGAGGACCCCAUUUGGUACAAAGUGGGCACAUUUGGCAACACCAGGAUGAAUCUGAUGCCUUCCUCAUUUCAAAUGUGCGGUACACUCUGGGUGGAAAACAAUAUGCAUGAAAGGACUUUUUACAGAAGUAGCAUGUCACCCACAGGGGCUUGGCACGAUUUUCCAAAUGAUAAUGGUGAAACCAGUAGCCACAUUAGGUACCAGCGUAUCUAACCCAAAGGAUAUCUUCCUCAUCAUCAUUACAUCGAUCACUGAUGUUGCAAAUUUUGCAUGUAAAUAUUUCUUCUGCAAGUUCAUUGCAUUUGUUCUGUAGAUGAAAGAUUAAAGUAUGAGUUAAACCAUA